CCCCUCCUUCACUCACGCCCCUCCCUCCUGACUGACCCCUUCCCCCUGACUGACCCCUUCCCCUUCUUCCUCACGUUCUUCCUCUCUUCCUCCCCUCCCAUGGCUGCCUACCUUUGAAUCCAAGCUCUGCAGCACUAAAUCCUUGGGGAAGACUAGCAAAACAGAUCGGGGACAUCAAGGGGAGGACGGGGAGGUGUAUCUUUGAGGUGGAUUGGCCCUUCUCCCUCUCUUCCCGUUGCCCUAGGGUUUGGGGAAAACCAAGGUUGUAGUGCCCACAAUCGCGUCUAAAGCGGUCAUCCCUUCAUUGGAGGCAAGUGAACGUAGCUGUUGCAUUGCUACAACUUUAACAUUCUAUUUUUACUGCCUCCACUUAUAAAAUACAAUACACAUGCUUAUAAGUGAUAAUAUAACAAAUUUAGACAUGGCUCAAAAUUAUUGGGCGAAGUAUGAAACAUUGGUUCUAAUAUAAGUUUAGAGCUAAUGUGUCUUUUUGUUUCAACAUGGGUGGAUAGAUAAAUGAAUUGGACUAUAUGUGGUGAACUUUGAAUUUAUAGCUAGGGAUGAAAGUGUUUUUACAUGUCAUAUAUUUAGUAAUUUAUACUAUGACAUGUUUUCUUGUGAGUAAAAUCUAUGGAAUCCUUGGUGGUUUACUAAUGAGUGGGCCUAUUAUAGUAGAGGUUAUGUUAAUCUUGGUGUAUGAAAAUCUCUGUGGUGUUUACACUACCUAUAUCUCCUAGUGCUAUCAUGUGUGGGUAAAUUGGAGUUGGGAUUACGAAUAAGGUUCAAAGUAAUUUUCUACUAUUCUUUGGUAUAUGAGUUCAAAUAUAAGAAUUGAACUUUGGGUUGACUAGCUCUGCUUAGAAACUUUUUUUCUUUCUUUGAUAUGAUAGAUGUGCUUUGGGCUUGGAUUAUGAAAUUAGUGUUCUACUCUAUGUUUCAAUUACUCAUGGCAACAUGCUAUCCUUUUUCCUUAAGAUCACGAUGAUCUAUAGAUAUGAUGGCUUGAUUAACUAUUUGGUUGAUGUUUGGCAUAUGUGAGACUACAUUAUUUAAUCAUGAUUGAUGUUAUUUGUGUUACAGAAGCACCGCUUGUAUCUCUCUAUAUUAAUUAUCAUGGAUUGUUCUCUUUUUC